CGGGACGGGUGAGUAAUGUCUGGGAAACUGCCUGAUGGAGGGGGAUAACUACUGGAAACGGUAGCUAAUACCGCAUAACGUCGCAAGACCAAAGAGGGGGACCUUCGGGCCUCUUGCCAUCGGAUGUGCCCAGAUGGGAUUAGCUAGUAGGUGGGGUAACGGCUCACCUAGGCGACGAUCCCUAGCUGGUCUGAGAGGAUGACCAGCCACACUGGAAUGAGACACGGUCCAG
rnacentral:rRNA from 1 species